GAGUGGCGAACGGGUGAGUAAUACAUAGGUAACCUGCCCCUGUGCGGGGGAUAACAGGAGGAAACUCCUGCUAAUACCGCAUAGCCAUGAGCACCGCAUGGAGCUCAUGCCAAAUAUCCUUCAGGGGAUAGCGCAGGGAUGGACCUAUGGCGCAUUAGCUAGUUGGCGGGGCAACGGCCCACCAAGGCAACGAUGCGUAGCCGGCCUGAGAGGGCGGACGGCCACAUUGGGACUGAGACACGGCCCAGACUCCUACGGGAGGCAGCAGUAGGGAAUUUUCGGCAAUGGGGGAAACCCUGACCGAGCAACGCCGCGUGAGCGAAGAAGGCCUUCGGGUCGUAAAGCUCUGUUGUAAAGGAAGAACGUCGCAUGCAGGAAAUGGUGUGCGAGUGACGGUACUUUACCAGAAAGCCACGGCUAACUACGUGCCAGCAGCCGCGGUAAUACGUAGGUGGCGAGCGUUAUCCGGAAUCAUUGGGCGUAAAGAGGGAGCAGGCGGCCGCAAGGGUCUGUGGUGAAAGACCGAAGCUAAACUUCGGUAAGCCAUGGAAACCGGGCGGCUAGAGUGCGGAAGAGGAUCGUGGAAUUCCAUGUGUAGCGGUGAAAUGCGUAGAUAUAUGGAGGAACACCAGUGGCGAAGG
rnacentral:rRNA from 1 species